GACGGGGGCCCGCACAAGCGGAGGAGCAUGUGGUUUAAUUCGAUGAUACGCGAGGAACCUUACCUGGGCUCGAACGUAAGAUGACUGUAGGUGAAAGCUUACAUCUCUUCGGAGCAUUUUACGAGGUGCUGCAUGGUUGUCGUCAGCUCGUGCCGUGAGGUGUCGGGUUAAGUCCCAUAACGAGCGCAACCCCUACCUUUAGUUGCCAUCAGGUUAAGCUGGGGACUCUAAAGGAACUGCCUACGCAAGUAGUGAGGAAGGCGGGGAUGACGUCAAAUCAGCACGGCCCUUACGUCCAGGGCUACACACGUGCUACAAUGGCCGAUACAGAGGGCAGCUACCUGGUGACAGGAUGCAAAUCUCCAAAGUCGGUCUCAGUUCGGAUCGGAGUCUGCAACCCGACUCCGUGAAGUUGGAUUCGCUAGUAAUCGCGCAUCAGCCAUGGCGCGGUGAAUACGUUCCCGGGCCUU
rnacentral:rRNA from 1 species